GUAAUAGCUCACUGGUCGAGUCGGCCUGCGCGGAAGAUGUAACGGGGCUAAACUAUGCACCGAAGCUGCGGCAGCGAACGUAUCACUUAAACUGAUUAAGUGAUAUUCAAUAGUAUCAGAACGAUUGACGGAGCAACGCGACGUCAAUGCGUCCAACAAAGUCGAGGCGGAAACGUCAGACAGUCAGUUUAAGGAUACGUUCGUUGGGUAGGGGAGCGUUCUGUAAGCCUGUGAAGGUGUACUGUGAGGUAUGCUGGAGGUAUCAGAAGUGCGAAUGCUGACAUAAGUAACGAUAAUGCGGGUGAAAAACCCGCACGCCGGAAGACCAAGGGUUCCUGUCCAACGUUAAUCGGGGCAGGGUGAGUCGACCCCUAAGGCGAGGCAGAAAUGCGUAGUCGAUGGGAAACGGGUUAAUAUUCCCGUACUGGUGAUAAUUGCGAUGGGGGGACGGAGAAGGCUAGGCUAUCCGGGCGACGGUUGUCCCGGUUUAAGGAUGUAGGCAGGUGAAUUAGGCAAAUCCGGUUCACUAUAUGCUGAGGUCCGACGACGAGUCACUACGGUGAUGAAGUAGCUCAUGCCCCGCUUCCAGGAAAAGCCUCUAAGCUCUAGAUUAUCAUUAAUC
rnacentral:rRNA from 1 species